rnacentral:rRNA from 1 species
UACGUAGGGGGCGAGCGUUGUCCGGAAUCAUUGGGCGUAAAGCGCACGUAGGCGGUCUGUUAUGUCGGAUGUGAAAGCCCUUGGCUCAACUGAGGAAGUGCAUCCGAAACUGGCAGGCUAGAGUACUAAAGAGGAUCGCGGAAUUCCCGGUGUAGAGGUGAAAUUCGUAGAUAUCGGGAGGAACACCGGUGGCGAAGGCGGCGAUCUGGGUAGAUACUGACGCUGAGGUGCGAAAGCGUGGGGAGCAAACAGGG